UGCAGCUGGGAGUGGAGCCCCAGCCCCAGCAGUCCCAGGUGUUCCCAUUCUGUGAUCAGCACAGAACAUAGACACCUCACCAUGGAGUUUGUGCUGGGCUGGGUUUUCCUGGUUGCUCUUUUAAAAGGUGUCCAGUGUGACGUGCAGCUGGUAGAGUCUGGGGGAGACCUGGUGAAGCCUGGGGGGUCCCUGAGACUCACCUGUGUGGCCUCUGGAUUCACCUACAGUAGCUACUACAUGCACUGGGUUCGCCAGGCUCCAGGGAAGGGGCUGCAGUGGGUCGCAUACAUUUAUACUGAUGGAAGUAGCACAUACUACGCAGACUCCGUGAAGGGCCGAUUCACCAUCUCCAUUGACAACUCCAAGAACACGCUGUAUCUGCAGAUGAACAGCCUGAAGACCGAGGACACGGCCACAUAUUACUGUGCAAGAGACACGCUGAGGGCACCUCACUGGGAGCCCACACACAAACCUCCCUGCAGGAGGGGAUCAGCACCACCAGGGCGCGCACACUAUGCACAAUUUUGGUUUGUGUUCCCAGGAGCAGGUGCAGAUGGAGGUCACAGGCAGGUUUCCUGUCAGGGUCUGGGGCUUCCUCUCCACACAGCAGUCUCUCUAGGGAACCUCUCUGGUCACAGGAUUCUGCGUUUAUCUAUUAACUCUCUGAAUUCGCAACUGUGUUGUCAUAGGAAAACUACCCUAACAUGCACAAAGACACAGUUGUUUGCAUUCCUUACUCCUGUCCCUCAGUAUGAGUGAAUUGCAGAUUUCCUG